ACUAAAGCUGUGAUGGACUGCAGUAGAACAGUUAACCUCGUUGAAGAGAGCCGGUGGUGGGUGUGAACCGGUACAGGCACUGAUUUGAAUUACCGUCCGGAGCUGAUGGGAGGAACAAUGCUUUCAUGUCUUUUUUAGUGGACAUAGGCAGUCAGUAGUCCCAAUCCGGAAUUUUCCGUUAACAAUAAUGAAGCGGAGGCGAGCCUUAGGGCAGCCUCAAUUAGGGUGGUACCGCGAGCAGAAGCCUUCUCGUCCCUUUG
rnacentral:ncRNA from 1 species